rnacentral:rRNA from 1 species
AUUGAACGCUGGCGGCAGGCCUAACACAUGAAAGUCGAGGGACCGGAGCGCGUGUGAGUAACACGUAUCAAACCUGCCCUUUAGUCGGGGAUAGCCUUUCAAAGGAAAGCAUAAUACCCGCUAUAAAGGCUGGGGAUGAGUUCCAUUCGGUGGUGGGUGAGGUAACGGCUAACAAAGCCUUCGAUGGAUGGUGUUUGUGAGAGGAAGGUCCCCCACAUUGGAACGUAGACACGGUCCAAACUCCUACGGGAGGCAGCAGUGAGGAAUAUAGGUCAAUGUGCGCUAGCCUGAACCAGCCAAGUAGCGUGAAGAAUGAAGCCUUAUGGGUGGUAAACUUCUUUUAUAUAAGAAUAGGUAUUAUAUGAAUAAGGAUCGGCUAACUCCGUGCCAGCAGCCGCGGUAAUAC